rnacentral:rRNA from 1 species
GACGAACGCUGGCGGCGUGCUUAACACAUGCAAGUCGAACGGACCUUCGGGUUAGUGGCGAACGGGUGAGUAACACGUGGGUGAUCUGCCCUGCACUUUGGGAUAAGCCUGGGAAACUGGGUCUAAUACCGGAUAGGACCACGCAUUUUAUGGUGUGUGGUGGAAAGCUUUUGCGGUGUGGGAUGGGCCCGCGGCCUAUCAGCUUGUUGGUGGGGUAAUGGCCUACCAAGGCGACGACGGGUAGCCGGCCUGAGAGGGUGACCGGCCACACUGGGACUGAGAUACGGCCCAGACUCCUACGGGAGGCAGCAGUGGGGAAUAUUGCACAGUGGGCGCAAGCCUGAUGCAGCGACGCCGCGUGAGGGAUGACGGCCUUCGGGUUGUAAACCUCUUUCGCCAGGGACGAAGCGCAAGGGACGGUACCUGGAGAAGAAGGACCGGCCAACUACGUGCCAGCCGCCGCCGUAACAC